UACGUAGGGGGCUAGCGUUGUCCGGAAUCAUUGGGCGUAAAGAGCGUGUAGGCGGCCCGGUAAGUCCGCUGUGAAAGUCGGGGGCUCAACCCUCGAAUGCCGGUGGAUACUGUCGGGCUAGAGUGCGGAAGAGGAGAAUGGAAUUCCUGGUGUAGCGGUGAAAUGCGCAGAUAUCAGGAAGAACACCCGUGGCGAAGGCGGUUCUCUGGGACGGUACUGACGCUGAGACGCGAAAGCGUGGGGAGCGAACAGG
rnacentral:rRNA from 1 species